UCUGAGCAGCCCCUGAUGUUGAAUUUGUACUGAGAGCUCAGUAAGUUGACUUGAGGAAAUCUCAUUAAAUUAAACAUCCCUCCAUAAAAGGUUUGUCUGGAUUUAGUGUAAUCUGUCUUUUCUCUCUGAUGUUAAAACAUUUCUAUGGCUAAUUUUGGCUUUGCUGUAGGAUCUGGUAAAACUAAUUGCUACUAGUGGUCAGUUUGAUAUUUUUGUCUAUUUGGUCAUGAAUUAAGUUGUCAAAGAAAGGGAAACAAACUGUGUUGGAUUCUUAUAAAGGGAAUCUUAUAAUUUUUUAUAGAGUAACUGUGCCAAAGUUCUCAUACUUUGUCCUGCAGACUGCAAAGACUGUAAAGCUUGAGCAGCCCAAGGAGCUGUUCAGGAGCAGCAGGCUGAGGAUGUUUCCCUUUGCAUCCUUCCCCAGGAAGAUGGACUGUUUCAUAUGGAUGCUGAAUGUGAGAAAGCAGGCAGGGAGCACAUGCCUGUGUGAAACCAAGUCACAGAACUUUCUCAGACUGGCCUG